UCUAGUUGUUUUGUUCUUGAGCCCUCUUCUGAGCCGCCUUGGUUAUGGAUUUAACUGGCGCUGGGGAGCUGUCAUUGUCUGGAGUGGAAUGAGGGGUAUUUUUACUUUGAAUAUGGCUCUUGGGAUUAGCCAGUCAAAAGAUCUGGGUACAGCAGCAAUGAAGAACAUGCGAUGACUGCAUGCAGUAACAGCAUCAUUAAUGACUUUGAUGAUUAAUUCUACCACGGUGAAAAAGCUGGUUACAACACUGGAUCUAUGUAAUAUUACUCUUCCAAAGCGUAUGGUAAUGUACAGUGCUGUUCAGCGUAUAAAAGAAAUGGAGGCCAACGCAUUUUCCAUGUUGAAAUUUGAUAGAUUUUUCGCUGAUGCAAAUUGGACCAGGACUGAAGAAGCAAUUAAAAUUGAUUACCCUUAUAAAUUUGACAUAGAGGAAGUUUCCCAAAAUGUUAGAACACUUGAAUGUCCAGAUUGUAAUGCAGAAAUUUCAUCUGAGACAACACCUCAACAAAUUGCUGACAUACUGGAAGAAGCCAGGUUACGUCUUUUAACAGCACAAAUAGAAUGGAUAUCCAAAUGUAACCUGUGGACGACUUUGGACAUCAAGUCUUUAAAUUGUGGCCUUCAAGGAUGACAGUGUUAAGAAGAAAUGUACUUGACUAUAAACUGAAAAUGUAUACCCUCAGCUAUGUGAUAUGACUUCUAAACUGAAACAUUUGAAUCAGCCCUAUUACUACAAGGAGGAAAUCGAUGGGACUGCUUUCCCAUCUAUCUCCCACUGUUUCCCUUGGAGCCUCAGGAGCAGCUCUGGUGUGAGCCUAGAGUGCUCUGACCAGCAUCUGUGUCCCUUGUUGCAGCUGCUAAGCAGCUCCCCUACUGGUCCUCUGCUGCAUCCUAGGGAAGGAAUGAGAGAAUAAUUCUGGCUUGUGCAUUAAUUUCUUUCUUGCCAGGCUUUGGGAAGCCCAGAGGUAGCAUGAUAGAAGUUUGCAUCUAUAUUGGCCCUGUGGGAGUAUCUGUCAAAUGAUGGCUCCUUUCCCCAAUGCAGCCACCCAGGGCAGCCCAGGAGAGGAUUAGAAAAGCUGAAGCUGAGAACCCACAACUGAUUAAGGCUCCCAGAUUCUCUGGCCUACCUCAGGCUAGAGAAUCUUUGCUCCAGCUUGAUUCAGUCCUCAAGAGACCAUACUCCAGCAAGGGAUUGUCAAGAGUGCAGCACACACCAGCUACUCUCCCCUCCACAUUCCCCUUUACAUCAGGAGCUGCAGGCAGGGAGGCAUAGGAUAUGAAUUCAGUGGCUCUAUAUCCACUGAGGACUCUCGCAUAUAUGGGGGAUUUACUGAUAGUUUCUGCUCCCUUUGUGUUGUGUGAGUGGAGUAGGAUAGAGAAUCCACCUCAAUGUACUGAUUGUGGUCCCUUGAUCUUUUUGAAAUAUGUUUGGCUGUCCAGCUGAAAAAGUUGGGCUUCACUGAAUUAAGGAUAAACUUAGAAUCUUUUUACCUUCCAAGACAUGUGCUGAAAGAUCUGAUUUUCUGCAUAACACUUAUUGGCAGUACUAACACCUAAAAUAAAGCAGUAUUUUCAGCUUUCCUA